rnacentral:rRNA from 1 species
GCCUACGGGGGGCAGCAGUGAGGAAUAUUGGUCAAUGGGCGCAAGCCUGAACCAGCCAAGUCGCGUGAGGGAUGACGGUCCUAUGGAUUGUAAACCUCUUUUGUCGGGGAGCAAGGCCCGCCACGUGUGGCGGGAAGGAGAGUACCCGAAGAAAAAGCAUCGGCUAACUCCGUGCCAGCAGCCGCGGUAAUACGGAGGAUGCGAGCGUUAUCCGGAUUUAUUGGGUUUAAAGGGUGCGUAGGCGGAAGGUUAAGUCAGCGGUCAAAUGUCGGGGCUCAACAACGGCCUGCCGGUGAAACUGGUCU